AGUUCGAGGGGCAGCAUGAACUUAGCUUGCUAAGUUUGAUGGCGACCGGCGCACGGGUGAGUAACACGUAUCCAACCUGCCGAUGACUCGGGGAUAGCCUUUCGAAAGAAAGAUUAAUACCCGAUGGCAUAGUUCUUCCGCAUGGUAGAACUAUUAAAGNAUUUCGGUCAUCGAUGGGGAUGCGUUCCAUUAGGUUGUUGGCGGGGUAACGGCCCACCAAGCCUUCUAUGGANANGGGUUCUGAGAGGAAGGUCCCCCACAUUGGAACUGACAUUCGGUCCAUACUCCUACGGGAGGCUCCANUGA
rnacentral:rRNA from 1 species